AUGAACGCUGGUGGCGUGCCUAAUACAUGCAAGUCGAGCGAACGGACGAGAAGCUUGCUUCUCUGAUGUUAGCGGCGGACGGGUGAGUAACACGUGGAUAACCUACCUAUAAGACUGGGAUAACUUCGGGAAACCGUAGCUAAUACCGGAUAAUAUUUUGAACCGCAUGGUUCAAAAGUGAAAGACGGUCUUGCUGUCACUUAUAGAUGGAUCCGCGCUGCAUUAGCUAGUUGGUAAGGUAACGGCUUACCAAGGCAACGAUGCAUAGCCGACCUGAGAGGGUGAUCGGCCACACUGGAACUGAGACACGGUCCAGACUCCUACGGGAGGCAGCAGUAGGGAAUCUUCCGCAAUGGGCGAAAGCCUGACGGAGCAACGCCGCGUGAGUGAUGAAGGUCUUCGGAUCGUAAAACUCUGUUAUUAGGGAAGAACAUAUGUGUAAGUAACUGUGCACAUCUUGACGGUACCUAAUCAGAAAGCCACGGCUAACUACGUG
rnacentral:rRNA from 1 species